rnacentral:rRNA from 1 species
UGGGGAAUAUUGGACAAUGGGCGAAAGCCUGAUCCAGCCAUGCCGCGUGUGUGAAGAAGGUCUUCGGAUUGUAAAGCACUUUAAGUUGGGAGGAAGGGCAGUAAGUUAAUACCUUGCUGUUUUGACGUUACCAACAGAAUAAGCACCGGCUAACUUCGUGCCAGCAGCCGCGGUAAUACGAAGGGUGCAAGCGUUAAUCGGAAUUACUGGGCGUAAAGCGCGCGUAGGUGGUUUGGUAAGAUGGAUGUGAAAUCCCCGGGCUCAACCUGGGAACUGCAUCCAUAACUGCCUGACUAGAGUACGGUAGAGGGUGGUGGAAUUUCCUGUGUAGCGGUGAAAUGCGUAGAUAUAGGAAGGAACACCAGUGGCGAAGGCGACCACCUGGACUGAUACUGACACUGAGGAGCGAAAGCGUGGGGAGCAAACA